UAUUUUUUUGUACGAUUAACAUUUUAAUGAUUCAACCGCCAUAUUUUACAUUCCAUCCAUAUAGAUCAUGCAUGUAAAACUUUAAAUAUUUUUUUAAUUAUUUAUUUUAUGUAAAAAACUAUUAAUUGUUUAAUAAAUAUUAAUAUACUCUUUUUAAUAUUGAAAUGAUAAAGAUAUCAAAUCGGUCCAAAAAUUGCAUGGGUGACAAGUACAAUUAUAUUGAAAAAUUCAGCGAUUGGAUUGUUAAAAGGUUAAUUGUAAAAAAAAAU
rnacentral:pre_miRNA from 1 species